rnacentral:rRNA from 1 species
CCUACGGGAGGCAGCAGUGAGGAAUAUUGGUCAAUGGACGAGAGUCUGAACCAGCCAAGUAGCGUGAAGGAUGACUGCCCUAUGGGUUGUAAACUUCUUUUAUAUGGGAAUAAAACGUUCCACGUGUGGGAUUUUGUAUGUACCAUAUGAAUAAGGAUCGGCUAACUCCGUGCCAGCAGCCGCGGUAAUACGGAGGAUCCGAGCGUUAUCCGGAUUUAUUGGGUUUAAAGGGAGCGUAGGUGGAUUGUUAAGUCAGUUGUGAAAGUUUGCGGCUCAACCGUAAAAUUGCAGUUGAAACUGGCAGUCUUGAGUACAGUAGAGGUGGGCGGAAUUCGUGGUGUAGCGGUGAAAUGCUCAGAUAUCACGAAGAACUCCGAUUGCGAAGGCAGUUCACUGGACUGCAACUGACACUGAGGCUCGAAAGUGUGGGUAUCAAACAGGAUUAGAUACCCCUGUAGUC